CACGUAGGGCGCAAACGUUGUUCGGAAUUACUGGGCGUAAAGCGCAUGUAGGCGGCCAAGCAGGUCGGAUGUGAAAUCCCUCGGCUCAACCAAGGAAGUGCAUUCGAAACCGCAUGGCUGGAGUCCCGGAGAGGGUAGUGGAAUUCUCGGUGUAGAGGUGAAAUUCGUAGAUAUCGAGAGGAACACCGGCGGCGAAAGCGGCUACCUGGACGAGGACUGACGCUGAGAUGCGAAAGCGUGGGGAGCAAACAGG
rnacentral:rRNA from 1 species